CACCACAGCAGUGAAAAUGCAAGAUCCUUAACCUGCUGAGCCACCAGAGAAUGUCUAGUUUUCUCUUCCUUCCUUCUUUCCUUUCUAGGGCUGCACCUGCAGCAUAUGAACGUUCCCAGGCUACGCCACGGCCACAGCAAUGCCGGAUCUGAGCCACAUCUGCAACCUACACGACAGCUUGUGGCCACGCUGGAUCCUUGACCUUCUGUGCAGGGUCGGGAUUUGAACCCGCAUCCUCAUGGACACUAGUCAGGUUCUUAACCUGCUGAGCCACAAUGGGAACUCCCUGUCUUCACCUUUCAAGGAAGGAAACUGAGGCUUAGCCAAAGGCCCAGAUCAAACCCAGGCAAUCACUCCAAGUUCAGACUCUUGAGGCACUAAGUUAUCUUGCCUGCCAUCUUCAGCGAUUCUGGAAGCCUAGCAUUUUCGUGAGGGCGGGGGCUGCAGAUUUCCCUUCUUUUGUCUUCUACGCACUCAAGGCAGGGCAGGGAGCACAUUGUGUGCUACGUAAAUAUUAUGUUUCAGAAUGCCAGGUAUAUGAGAGGUCCAAUAUGCUGUUUCUAAGUCAUUUGCUCAUGUCAUAUGUCUCCCUCCUGCUGUUUUGGGUGUUUCCAUGGAAAGUCCUUAUAGAGACCAAGAAAAGAACCAAUUGGAAGCAUCUAAGUAUAUGGCCAGUGACAAUACUGGAGAGAAAUGAUUUUGUCUCUAAUCUGUAAUCUUAUGGUGGGAUGCUAAAUUUACCAUCUCCACAAAUAAAUCUGUGGACAAAGUGUGAAGCCUAGAUUAUUAAUAAGCAUGUGCAAUAUCUUUAUUUAUCCUAUCUAACAACUCUCAGGGGCUGGUGACAGAACCUUAGCACAUAAAGUGCUGAGUCUUAAAGAACAAAAAAUUUUCGCCGUUACCACAUUCCCCUGAGAAGUCUCAUUAAUUCAAAAGGCAAUGAUUUUUUUUGAGAUCAAAUCUCCAAGAGAUAGUUCCAUGAAAGGCACCAACACCAGGGUGUGUCUUUUACAUCUGCCUCCCUUAAAACCCUCACUGUUCUCAGUCCCCAACACACAGUGUACUUAAUAAAAAAAAAAAAAAUCAAUGUACAUGUGCAAAUAGCAUCCAUACUAAGAGCCAAAAGGAAUCUGUAGCUGGCUUGGAACAGAUAAUAAGUUUUGUAUUUAUCUUACAAAAAUAAAAGUAAAAUCCAAGGCAGAUUUUCAAAUACCCCGUGCAUUCUACACUCACUAUCUGCCCCACUGGAGGGGAGAAAUGAGGAUUCUGGCGGAGCAAAACUAACAAUCUUGAGCACAAAAGAUGCUCAUUAAACUUCAUCAUCCUGUCUACUCUAAUGAUGCUUUUACUUAAUAAAAAUUCCCCAAGCAGUUGCAAGGAUAUUAGGCAAGGUCUUUGGUUAUGUAUCAGAGGUCUGAGCUGUCACCAGCAAGCAGGCACUUCAGGGGGUAGGUUCCCAGGGGACGGAGCAAAUACAGCUUUCACAGGAUACAUGCAGAGAAAAAUCAAUACGGCAACUUGCCUCCCUGCUUAAGCAUUUAAGAGAAGAGGUAAUCCUUUUAAAUUAAACCACAAAGUGCUAAAUGUUGCAAUUUCUAAAAUAAACUAAAAAGCAAAGCAAACAAGGCAAAGGGCAGUGGUAAGUUUCCUAAACAAGCUACUACAUGGGGUGCCGGAGACUAUUUUUUAUGAAAAGAAUGAUCUGGGGACAUAACACUUGGAGAGUGAAGGAGAGACAUCCAACCGUAUGUGUGUCCCUGGGUUCAUAAUACACACACAGACACACAAACCUAUUUAUCAAAGGAAGGAAGUGAGAAAUUAUUUCUACAGGUGCCCUUAACCCCUUCAAAAUGGAUUCUUGAGACGUCACUACUAUUAAAAUUCACUAACCCGAAUCUGGCUCUCAAAAGUUGAACAGUCAUUAUCUUGGAGAUCCCUUAACAAGGACAGCUAGAUGUUAAUACUAUAGAAGCAGAAGUUAUUGCUUUUGUCUAGAUCAUACAACCCACUUUCAAGUUCAUGUCCUGCCAAUACAGACGUGGCUGGAGAGAUGGGAGCAUCAAGGCAAGAGUGAGGCGCUACCUAAAAACUUGAAUUUAUCUGGGAGAGAAUGGGUAUGUUUAUCUGUAUGACUGGGUCACUUUGUGGCACAGCAGAAAUGAUCGCAAUCUUGUAAAUUAACUCUACUUCAAGAAAACUUGAAAGGGGGGGGGGGUAAGCCUGCCCUCAUACAUGUUAAAUGAUAAUAUCCAUACAAAACGAACCAAAGCAGAAACAUGGGAUGUUAUCCCCAAUAACACCGGCACAACUCAGACCAGUUAAGACUUGACUGGGAGUCAAGCAAGGGCAUUAACAAGGCUGGAGAGAGAGCAGGUCCAUCAAGAGAGUGAUGGUGUCAGGAGUUCCUGUCAUGGUGCAGUGGAAACAAAUCUGACGAGGAACCAUGAGGGUGUGGGUGCAGGCCCUGGCCUCACUCAGUGGGUUAAGGAUCCGGCGUUGCCGUGAGCUGUGGUGUAGGUUGCAGACUCGGCUCAGCUCUCACGUUGCUGUGGCUGUGGCGUAGCCUGGCAGCUACAGCUCUAAUUAGACCCCUAGCCUGGGAACUUCCACAUGCCGCAGGCGCAGCCCUAAAAAGACAAAAAAAAAGAGAGAGAGAGAGAGAGAGAGCUGGGAAUUCUGUGGAUGCCCUGGCAGGGCUGUGGCUCCAAGUGGAAGCAGAGAAAACAAACAUGGUGCCACCCCAAUCUUCCGGAGGCUGAGCUGAGCCUGCGUGGUCCAGCUUGCGGCCAGCUCGCUCCCCUCUUCUGCCACUGCCCUCCACGUUCUUCAUCUCCAGCACAUGGGCAAACGCAUCAGGCUCCUGCCCAAGAGGUGUUGCACUUGCUUGCUAUGCACUCAGUCUGGAAUGGUCUCCUCCAGGUCUGAGACAGGCCCUCUCACCAUCCCCAUGUUGCAGGUGAGGGAAUGGACAUGGAGACUGAAGCACCUUUGAUGUGAAUGGCUGAGUUGUCCCAGCUCUGGUGCCCAAACAACUCAGUCUCGAACCUCUCCCUCCCUUUACUCUGGGUGCAGAGACUGGUUGGUAUGGGAGCCCAUGGUCAACCUGUGCCAAACAGAGGAAGACCUAGGACCUUGGCUUCCACUGUAGGGAAGAAAGGUCCUUCCCUUCCCUUUCUGUUUGAGUUGAAUUAGAAGUCCAUAUCUGCUGGUGGCCAUAGUGACAUUUGUGGAGAGAGCCUGCCUGGAAGGAAAGAAAGCAGGAGACAAAGCAGAACUGGAAGAUGGAGAGGAAUGGGAUCCAACGGAACUGAACCCUAUAUCAUGCCAUGCCUGAAGUCCACUGCACUGCUGCACUAUUAGUAAUAGAAAGUAAUCCAAAUAAUCGCCAUGCUUUUUAGCUUUGUUUCUUGCAAUUCAAGAAUCCGAGUGACACAUCACUCUGGUCUACUUCAAACCAGAGUUCCUUAGAGAGGUCUCCGUGGCCUGCAUCGCCCCUCUUUAACCACAUUCAUUCCCUUCACACCAACUGUUGCCACAGCAUUAUUUUGUUUAUUUGAUGACUUGUUUCCCACCUCCCUUAGCAGGAACCUCGCCUGCCUUCUCAAGCAUCCUCUGUGACUGGUACGCCAUGGGCGCACAGUGAGCGUUUGUUGAGUGAAUGAAUGAAAGCAUACAUCACUGCACUUCCUAAGAUGUACAAAAAGUAGCCAACUACGUGGGUGUCUUUCCAGCUGGGUCAUUAGUGUCUCUGAAGCUGGGACUGUCUUAAUCCUUUUGCUUCUCCAGUAGUCCAUUUACGGGUAGACUGAAAGAAUGUCUUCAUCAAGGAAUAUUUCCUAACGUCCUCAACUCCACAGUCAUCAAGGGCGACCACAGCCAUGAUUCCCACAGAGAGCUGUCCACUGAAAAGAAUACGUGCUGAGCUGGCCAAGGCAAGUCUUCUAGUCUUUAGGGGCAGUUAUCUUCUGUUAUAAAAUUCUGGUGCCUACAUAAGUGUCUUAAGUUUUGCCCAGUUUCUGUAGGGCUUCUGAGGCUGAAACGCUCAGGGUAAGACAGGAGGAAGCAGUAAAUGCACCAUGGUGCUGUUUUGUGAAGCUGUUUGGGAGUCUAGCCCAUUGUUCUCUGGUGGAAAUUUUCACUCUCUCUGGGUGUUUUGGGGGGUGUUUUGGUCACCCUGCAGCAUAUGGAAGUUCCUGGGCCAGGGAUCAGAUCCGAGCCACAGUUGCAACCUUCGCUGCAGCUGCAGCCACGCUGGAUUCUUAACCCACUAUGAAAGGCCAGGGAUGGAACUUGCAUCCCAGGUUCCAGAGAUUGAGAACUAGCUGAAUCUAGGAAUAGUAUAUAAGAGAGAAUGAAGCUCAACUGGACAUUAUAAAAACACUAAGGUUUCCUCCCUUCCAUUUGAACAAAUUACAAAUCAGAAGGAAUGUUUACUACCAUGGGCAGGUAGUAGCUUUUCCGGUCACACAUGGUUCCCUCACGAACGGCUCAGCAUUCAUGACCUCUUAAGUUACAAAGCCAAGGGUCUUGACCGCCAAACUCAGGUAGCACUGGCCACACAUGCACAUUUCCAUGCAAAGCUUCUGGGGUGUUUUCUGCACUAACUCAUCUAAGCCUUAAGCAAUAGCUCAUGGAUAGAAGAUGCCGUGGAGGUGUGCACAUCUGUCCUGUGGCUCUGGAGACAAAUGAUGGUACAAAUACAAAGCCCAUGUCACAGAACCAGUUACUGCCAUGUCUAAAGAGAGAAGCGUCUACCUUUUCUUUCUUUUGUUUUGCAGAUAAGGCAUAAGGCAUACAUGGAAGUAUUAUUAUUCUCCCCCUCCUCUCCCUCAUUGUGGCUAUUAAUU
rnacentral:lncRNA from 1 species